ACGUAGGGAGCAAGCGUUAUCCGGAUUUAUUGGGCGUAAAGGGUGCGUAGGCGGCUUGUUAAGUAUGAGAUUAAAGCCCGAGGCUUAACCUCGGUUCGUUUCAUAAACUGGCAGGCUUGAGUGUGGCAGAGGUAAACGGAAUUUCUAGUGUAGCGGUUAAAUGCGUAGAUAUUAGAAGGAACACCAGUGGCGAAGGCGGUUUACUGGGCCAUAACUGACGCUGAGGCACGAAAGCGUGGGGAGCAAAUAG
rnacentral:rRNA from 1 species